rnacentral:rRNA from 1 species
CCGGCGAACGGGUGCGUAACACGUGAGCAACCUACCGAAGUGUGGGGGAUAGCCGGCCUAACGGCCGAGUAAUACCGCAUACGAUUCCGAAGAGGCAUUUCUUUGGAAUGAAACCUACGGGGUACUUCGAGGGGCUCGCGGCCUAUCAGCUAGUUGGUGAGGUAACGGCUCACCAAGGCGACGACGGGUAGCUGGUCUGAGAGGAUGGCCAGCCACAUUGGGACUGAGACACGGCCCAG